CCAUCCCAGAAAUUCAACCAUCUCUUUGUUUUUCAUUCCGAAACGUCACCUUCUUUUUUAAGCCUCUUAAUCACGGCUCUUUACCUUCCUCUUUUUCCAUUCACAUGUAAAUUUCCUCUUUCUUAUGUUUUACAACGCCUUUAUCUCCUAAUCUUCCUCCCACUCGCUAGACCUAGAAUUCUUCUUCUUUUUUCUUGGAGAAGAAGAAGAACACGAAAUCAAUUAAGGGAUAAGUCUAACUGCGGUCAUUCAGAAAGGUCUAUUACAGAUGGAAACGGUAAUCUACAAACUCAUAAAAAUGAGUAAGAAAAAUAUUUACUCUUUUUUUCUUCCAAUUACAACUUAUGUUAUUCAAUAUAAAAGAUUGUGUUUUCGAAUGUUAAAGUGAUGAUAUAAAUGGGGGUUCUGCAAUAGAAGUAGUCCAUGUGAUGUGAUGUGUUUAAUGUAAGGAUUCGUUACUUCUUAAUUUCUGUACUAAAGGGUGUAACUAAUUUAGUGUGCAUAUUUGUAGACAAUGAUAUUGUUUACCCGAAAAAUCGGAUAAAGUUAAAUUUGAGUAUGGUUCUAAAGAUAUGUGAUAUAAUUUGAUACAAACUAUAUAGAGAAAUAAUAAUAUCUAUAUUCUUGACUAUGAGAAUGAGAAUAGUGAGCAAGAAGAAUGAAUAAGAUAAAGUAAAACGAGCACAAGGGGAUAUCUUUCAAUAUGAGAAGUGAUCUUUGUUAUAGUGUGUCCGUCUUAUGCUUACAAGGAUUUCCCCUUUUAUAGUAGAGGGAUCCUACUUUAUUCAUAAUAAUAAAAAUAUAUAGUGGAGAACCCAUGAUGAAUUAUCUCUUACUCGAUUCCCGCCAAGAUUCUCUCCCUUAGUGCGAUUGUGACGGCUCUUGUCUGCGAGCUCGAUACUGGCUCGAACUCGUUAUUGGGUCGAGCCUUCGGAUUUGGCUUGAGUUCGACCUUCGGGGUGGAUGUAACGCAUUUCCGACCACCCUCACGUUGUCUUGCAGAUCGAUUUGGUCAUGAGAUCGAUAAUAGUAUCGAGCCGACUCCUCGAUCAAUCUUUGGAACUCGAAGCUCGUUUGUACUGUCUUCGAAACUCAUCCCAAAAUCCCACUCCGGUUGCUUACCAUUAGAACUCGAUCGAACGUAGGAAGACCGAAAUCUAUUUCGAUCGUAUACAGAUAGUUCCCUCGUUUCUCAGGAAGGAUGUGGUGAGAAUCGAUAUGAUUUUCGACGGUUCGAUCGGGUUAUGAGCUGACAUUUUCACGGGGCUCAAUCAUGACGUAUGUGAUAGCUGUCCCAUCGAUUUAGUCUUUCAAGGUAUUUAAUGCAUGUCAGACGGUGGUCGUCCACCGCUGAUACUGAACCGCCACGAUGUAAGCCUAUAAAUAACCCCUCCAUCUAACAUUUACCACUUUUACGUCUUCACUCUUCCAAGUUUUCUUACCCUCUCUCUAUAUUUCGCCGCUUGCAGAGCCAUCUACACCAGCGUUUAGCAUCAUCAACUUUUCAUCUUUCUUUGUCUUUCUUUCUCUCAUAUCAAUGGCCAAAAUUUUGAAAACUGUACCUCAGAAGGAGAAAGCUUCUUCUUCACGGCCGUACGACGACAAGGCACCGGUGGAGCCACCUACCUAUGAGUAUGUUCUCGGCCUGUGUACUCUGAAGAUCGAUUUUAAGGUUGAGAAUCCUUCAUCUGUUCUGGGUCGAUGUGAGCAUGUGUCGAUGUACAUGUGCUCGAUAACGGAGGGUCAUCUCGAGGAUGUGAGGAAAGACUGCAACUGGGGUUCCGAGGUUAUGUUGCAAAUUCCCUCUCCCGAAGAGAGCGUCAUCACUCAUGUGGAAAGGUUUUUAAGUGUUUACACUUAAUCCUUCAUGUUGGGUCCCAUCGAUCCGGUGAUCAUUGAUUUUUGCAAAAGAUAUCAGGUCACCCUUGGUCAAAUUCAUCCUUCUCUAUGGCGUAUAGUAACCUUACUUCGCUUCUUCUCCAACAAGGCCGGGGGGCUAGAUUUUUUCCUGAAUCACCUCAUACGAUUGUAUCGUCCUCAAAUCUUUCGAUGACUAAUCAAGCUUCAUCGUCGGCCAUCGAAGGCUUUAAUGUCGAGCAUCGACGAAGACAAGGAUCGGGGUUGGAUGGGCCGUUAUAUCUGGGUGAGGACCCGUGACCUCAUUCCGGAAGAGAAGAUGACGUUCCCCAGGGAAUGAAAUUUCGAUAGUAAGUGGUUUUCAUAAGACGUUGCUUUUCGUAUCUUUUUCCAGUUUUAUCUGAUGUCUUUCUCCGAUAUACAGCUGUCCCUUGGAUGCCACAAGCGGUACCCGACCUCGAGGAUUGGGUUCGGAAGUUAGCCUCGACNNNNNNNNNNNNNNNNNNNNNNNNNNNNNNNNNNNNNNNNNNNNNNNNNNNNNNNNNNNNNNNNNNNNNNNNNNNNNNNNNNNNNNNNNNNNNNNNNNNNNNNNNNNNNNNNNNNNNNNNNNNNNNNNNNNNNNNNNNNNNNNNNNNNNNNNNNNNNNNNNNNNNNNNNNNNNNNNNNNNNNNNNNNNNNNNNNNNNNNNNNNNNNNNNNNNNNNNNNNNNNNNNNNNNNNNNNNNNNNNNNNNNNNNNNNNNNNNNNNNNNNNNNNNNNNNNNNNNNNNNNNNNNNNNNNNNNNNNNNNNNNNNNNNNNNNNNNNNNNNNNNNNNNNNNNNNNNNNNNNNGCCAAACACGCUUGGCGUGAUUUGGAAAAAGGUAGAUGGGAGGCCAAGAAUCAUGGUAAGGGUCACUUCUCGUGUUCUUCGAAAUAUGUUUUUUAUGCUCCAUUCGUUACCGAUUUCCUUUCAUGCAGGUGUAACCAAGGAUGCCGUUUUGAGGCCUUCGAGUGGUGAGGAAGGAACCAAGUCCCUGGCCCCGGAACCGGGGAGAGAUAAGAAGCGAAAAGCUGUCUCUCGGUCAGAGGACCCCAAGCCCAAAACUCAUCUUCAACCAAUGUGAAUCGAGCAGCUUUAGUUCGUAGAACUCUAGAUUCUUUAGAGCCCGAUGGGAGUUUUCCAUUUUUUAAGUAUUCAACGUACUUGUUCCUCCAAUCCCAGGUUAAGCUUGUGAAAUUUAUUUUGGCGUUCCCACCCUCGAUUAUAGAUCUCCAGAGUUGAAGGACAAUCCCCGAGUCGAUCUUAUCCUCUUCGACCGAUGAGCCCAGAUUUGCGAGUGCGUCUGCCUCACUGUUUUGUUCUCGAGGUACAUGUUGUAGGGUCAAUUCUUUGAAAUGGUGUAGAGUUAUCUGUAGUUUGUCCAAAUACCUCUGCAUCCUUUCUUCUCGAACCUCGAAAGUUUUGUUCACUUGGUUUACCGCUAACAAAGAGUCAUAUUUGGCUUCGAUGACUUCUGCUCCCAAACUUUUAGCUAGCUCGAGACCUGCAAUCAUGUCCUCGUACUCGGCCUCAUUGUUAGUUAAUCUAGUAGUUUUGAUGGAUUGCCUAAUAAUGCCACAUGUGGGAGGCUUUAGUACGAUGCCAAGCCCGGAGCCCUUCACAUUUGAAGCACCAUAUGUGUAGAGGGUCCAAACCCCCGUCGAUGUACCCGAUUUUAACAAGAGUUCCUUUUCAACUUUGGGUACAAGGGUUGGUGUGAAGUCGGCAAGAAUUUGGGACUUGAUGGCCGUCUGAGGCUGAUAUUCAAUAUCGUACCCACUGAGCUCGACGACCCAUUUGGCCAGUCGGCCCGAUGGCUCGGGCUUGUGCAAAAUGUUUCGAAGUGGGUAAGUGGUUAAAAUGCAUACGGGGUGACAUUGAAAGUAUGGUCUUAACUUUCUAGAUGCGCUUAUUAAUGCAAGCGCCAGUUUCUCUAAGUGUGGGUAUCUAAUCUCUGCCUCUCCUAAGGUCCGACUUACAUAAUAAACAGGAAACUACGCACCUUGCUCUUCUCGAACUAGGACACCACUCACAGCGAUUUCCGAUACUGCCAAGUAUAGGUAAAGCUUCUCAUCUGCCUUCGGAGUGUGAAGUAAUGGUGGGCUCGAUAGGUAACGCUUCAGUUGUUCUAGUGCCUGUUGGCAUUCCGAGGUCCAGGCAAAAUCGUUCUUCUUUCUGAGUAGAGAGAAGAAUCUGUAGCUUCGAUCUGAUGACCUUGAAAUGAAUCGGCCUAAGGCAGCUAUCCGUCCGGUCAGCCUUUGCACUGCUUUCACAUUAUCCACGAUGGUGAUGUAUUCGAUGACUUUGAUUUUGUCGGAGUUGAUCUCGAUCCUCCUAUUCGACACCAUGAAGCCGAGGAACAUGCCCGAUCCGACCCCGAAAGCACAUUUUUCGAGGUUGAGCUUCAUGUUGUAUUUUCUUAGAAUUUUGAACGUUUCAUGCAAAUGAGCCAAAUGGUCCUCUGCGCGGAGGGACUUAACUAGCAUGUCAUCAAUGUAAACUUCCAUUGAUUUACCUAUUUAUUCUUUGAACAUUUUAUUCGCUAGGCGUUGGUACGUAGCCCCUGCAUUUUUUAGCCCGAACGACAUUACAUUAUAACAAUAGGUUCCAUACUUAGUGACAAACGAUGUUUUUUCUUGGUCCUCCAGGUCCAUGCUAAUUUGAUUGUACCCAGAGUAGGCGUCGAGAAAAGUGAGGAUCUCGUGGCCGGCCGUGGAGUCGAUCAAGCGAUCCAUGCUAGGCAGUGGAAAGGAAUCUUUGGGGCAUGCUUUGUUUAGAUUUUUAUAAUCUACACACAUUCUAAGUUUGUUCCCUUUCUUGGGGACUACAACCACAUUGGCCAACCAUUCGGGAUAUUUCACUUCUCGAAUUGACCCUAUUUUGAGAAGUUUAGUUACCUCAUCUCUUACAAAUGAGUGUUUCACCUCGGAUUGGGGUUUUCUUUUUUGCUUCACCGGUUUGAACCUAGGGUCCAACCUCAGCAGGUGCAUUGUUAUUGAUGGUGGGAUCCCCGCCAUGUCUAAAUGGGACCAAGCAAAACAAUCUAUGUUAUUAAUAAGAAAUUGAAUGAGUUUUUCUCUGAGUUCGGGGGUCAACCCCGUACCUAGGUAUACCUUUUUCUCGGGCAGAUGUUCGAUUAAUAUAACCGGCUCCAGUUCUUCGAUCGUCGACUUGGUGGCGUCAGAGUCGUCGGGGACGAUGAGAUCUCGAGGUGUCAGAAAUUCUUCCUUGUUAUCAUCUAUUUCCUGUUUCACCAAUUCGGUCAAGACCGGUUGCUGUGAUUGCUAUUUGGUUCCUUGCCUAUUUUUUAUGCUCGACCUUUCUGAGGCCGACGACGUUGGUAUCGAUGUUAUCUUAUCGACCGCAAAUAUUUCCUUCGCAGCAUGUUGCUCCCCGUACACUGUCUUCACGCCGUCCGACGUAUAAAAUUUUAUUACUUGGUGUAGAGUCGAAGGUACUACCCUCAUAUUGUGGAUCCAUGGUCUUCUGAGUAGGGCAUUGUACCUCAUAUCGCCUUCGAUUACGUUGGAACUUGGUAUUUGGACGGUUCCAGCCACAUUUAUUGGCAGGAUAAUUUCCCCUUCAGUUGUUUCACUGGCCAUAUUGAAGCCGUUUAAGACCCGAGCUGCGGGCACGACUUGAUUUUGUAAACCGAGCUUCUCCACUACCCAAGAUCGGAUGAUAUUUGCAGAGAUACCUGGAUCCACUAAGACGCGCUUAAUUUGAAUUUUAUGUAAUAGGAUCGAAAUUACCAGAGCGUCGCUGUGAGGGUGAGAGAUGCUUUCGACUUCUUCGAUUCCGAAUGAUAAAGUGCCCUCGGAUGCAUAACCUCGGGUUCAUUUUUCCCCUUUGGCCGGUAUCUUGCCGUAUUUGAGAACAAAUUCCUGUGGAAUAUCGACCCCACCGACGAUCAUGUGAAUGAUAUGCAAAGGUUCCUCCUGUUUAUCUCCUUUGCCGGCAUCCCUUUCUCUGAAGUGAUUCUUAGCUCGGUCACUGAGCAACUCUCGAAGGUGGCCCUCAUUGAAUAAGCGGGCUACCUCUUCUCUCAACUGUCUGCAUUCCUCAGUCCUGUGGCCAUGCAUACCAUGAUAUUGGCACAUCGAAUUCGGGUUCCUUUGGGAAGGGUCGGUUUGCAUGGGUCUGGGCCACCUAGUAUCUUUGAUUCUUCCGAUCGCCGAUACAAUGCCCGAUGCGUCGACGCUGAAAUUAUACUCCGAUAGCCGAGGUGCCUCCAUAGGAUCGGCAUAUAUAUCAAAGCCACUCUUGCUCAUAAGCCCCCGAGAAUUGUGCCCUCGAUCACUCCUUCGAUUGUUCCGAGCGGUAUUGCGUGUUGAACUGUUGUUCAUCCGAUCUGCGACGUAUGGUUGAUAUCGGUCUCUGUUCGACCUUUUCUCUCUGUCGAUCUCCUUUUGAUUUUUAAUAGCUAUCCUGUUCUGAUGCAUGGAUCUAGACAGAGCUCCCAACUGGUCAUCUUCGACCCUAAUGUUCGACUGAUAUCGGUUGUGUAUAUCUGCCCAAGUUAUUGCCGGAUACUCGAUCAAAUUUUGCUUCAGCGGGCAUGAUGCUAUUGAACUUUGCUCGUUCAACCCUUGGGUGAAAGCUUGGACGGCCCAAUCGUCUGUGACCGGUGGCAAUUCCAUGCGUUACAUUUGAAAUCGGGAUACGAAUUCCCUCAGCAUUUUAUUACCCCUUUGCUUUACUUUGAAGAGGUUUGAUUUCCUUGUUACAACCUUUAUGGCACCAGCAUGUGCCUUUACGAACGAAUCUGCUAACAUAGCAAAAGAAUCGAUGGAAUUUGGCGGCAGAUUGUGAUACCAAAUCAUCGCUUCCUUCGAGAGGGUCUCCCCGAACUUUUUCAACAAUACAGAUUCGAUCUCAUCGUCCUCCAAAUCGUUACCCUUGAUGGCAUAUGUGUAAGAGGUGACGUGUUCGUUGCGAUCGGUCGUACCGUUAUAUUUGGGAAUUUCGGGCAUACGAAAUUUUUUGGGGAUUGGUUUUGGAGCCGCACUCGAGGGAAAAGGCUUUUGUAUGAAUUUUUUCGAAUCCAGCCCUUUUAUCAUUGGUAGAGCUCCCGGGAUCUGAUCGACCCUGGCAUUGUAUGUUUUCACUCUCUUGUUGUUGGCUUCGACUCGUUUUGUGAGUUUCUCGAGUAAUUUAGUAAUUUCGGGAGUGGUCCCCGAUUCUUGCUCGUUUGACUUCACUAUGGCGGGCUCCGUUCUGGGGGUGAUUUCUCGAAGCGGAUUGGGAUCUGGCCUACUUUGUAUAUGAGUUUGGCUCUGCAACUGAUCUAUCGCUACUUGUUAGGCUUGUAACAUCUCGAAGAAUAUACGUAAGCUGACUCCGAUUUCCUCCACGUUAUGGGUGUCUCGAGCUACGGAUCGAGUACCGCCCUAAAUACUUUUUUCCGGUUCGAAACGUUGGUUCAUCUCAAGAGCCACUUGCGAAUUGUUAUCUAGUGGUACUUCGGCUCGAAUUUCAGGUACUUCGAUUCGAGCUUCAGUGCCAUCGUCAAGUGGCCUUCCGGCCCCGAGUACCAAGUUGUUGGUUUCAUCUUGAAGGCCGGCUUCGUGGUCGAUAGGUAAAGCCAUUACUGAUUCGAAGUUGUAAACUGGUGUGUAUUGCAGAUUUAUAUUAAACAAUCAUUGUUAUCCUUAGCCCCACGGUGGGCGCCAAACUAUUUAUCUGGAAAAUCGGAUAAAGUUAAAUUUGAGUAUAGUUCUAAAGAUAUGUGAUAUAAUUUGAUACAAACCGUAUAGAGAAAUAGUAAUAUCUAUGUUCUUGACUAUGAGAAUGAGAAUAAUGAGCAAGAAGAAUGAAUAAGGUAAAGUAAAACGAGCACAAGGGGAUAUCUUUCAAUAUGAGAAGUGAUCUUUGUUACAGUGUGUCCGCCUUAUGCUUAUAAGGAUUCCCCCUUUUAUAGUAGAGGGAUCCUACUUUAUUCACAAUAAAAAAAAAUAUAUAUAGUGGAGAACCCAUGAUGAAUUAUCUCUUCCUCGAUUCCCGCCAAGAUUCUCUCCCUUAGUGCGGUUGUAACAGCUCUUGUCUGCGAGUUCGAUACUGGCUCGAACUCGUUAUUGGGUCGAGCCUUCGGAUUUGGCUUGAGUUCGACCUUCGGGGUGGAUGUAGCGCAUUUCUGACCACCCUCAUGUUGCCUUACGGAUCGAUUUGGUCAUGGGCUCGAUAAUAGUAUCGAGCCGACUCCUCGAUCAGUCUUUGGAACUCGAGGCUCGUUUGUACUGCCUUUGGAACUCAUCCCAAAAUCCCACUCCAGUUACUUACCAUUCGAACUUGAUCGAACGUAGCAAGGCUGAAAUCUAUUUCGACCGUAUACAGAUACUAUUUUUAUCAGAGAACAUGCCUUCACAUAGUAACGAAGGCUUGGAUCAGUAAUUGAAGAAUGGUUUGCUGGUUGUUCAAACUAUUCUAAGAUGCAUUUGAGCCCUAAGGAUAUCCUUCUCCUUUGUUUCUAAACUAGCAGAAUCGUGGGAGUUGUCAACUAAGAAAGACCAGAAGUCCAUGCGAGCUGAUACUUUAUCUGUUAUCCUGACGUCCUGUAGGUAGGGUUGUUCGGGAAUCUUAUUAAAAAUGGGAGCGUAUGGAUUAAUUCGAAUCAAUCAAUUUUCAACGCCCUUACGAGGUAGUGAUGAGUUAAACUACUCAUGUUGGCAUGGAAGUCAGCCCGAUAAACUAAUUCCAUUCUGCUACUAAGGUUCCAAACCUUCCCCUAAAGAAGAUAAAUAGUCUUUCUAAAGAAGAUGAAUAACCUAACGGAGAAAAACUAAUAGAGGCAUAGAUAUCCUUAGGGCUCUAUUAGUUUUUCUCCGUUAGGUUGUUCAUCUUCUUUAGAGAGAAUAUUUAUCUUCUUUAGAAUUGAGGACCAUUCUGACCAACUAUUUUAUUGAAAAACAGUAAAUUAUCCGAGUACUCUAACUAAUAUUCUGAGCUUCUUUAUUAUGUCAGGUAGCAAAACAUAAAUGCAAACCCCUCUAAAAAUUGCCUACUUUGUUGUCUAUCCAUUUGCUUUUAUUAAACCAUGCGGUGCUCAUGGAGACGUGACUCUUAAAGUCAUUAAUUAACAGAUACACACUAAAGUCAAGGCAAAAUAGUGUAUAUCCUUCUAUUUUGUAUAUCUACAUCAGCAUUCUCUGGCAAGCCUGGCGUUGGGAAGACCACAAUACAUACAGAAGGAGGAAAAAGCAGUAUUACUACUAUUAUGAGAACAAAAGUUUACUUUGUUUAUUAUCGCCUCUUCGCUAUGCUGCUCCAUUUCUUUUGUGGGAAUAUUUUAUGUUAUUGCGACAGGUUAUAAAAAGAGACGUGGACAGAGCAUAACAGAGAUGGAAAUGGACUUUACUCCAUUUGAAUAGAGAGUUGAUUUUGUUCCAUCUAGAUAUGGUAAUGUAAAGCAUUGUCCCAAUUUUUACUCUAAAGUAUUUUACUCUUUGACUUGUCAUAUUGUAGUGAUGAAGCUUGCUAAUAUAGUAUUCAUAUAUUUGCUUUCUUUUUCUUUUUUUCCUUUUUCAACUUUUUGUAUCCCUACA
rnacentral:lncRNA from 1 species